GGGGGCUAUAAUGCAGUCGAGCGGACAGAUGGGAGCUUGCUCCCUGAUGUUAGCGGCGGACGGGUGAGUAACACGUGGGUAACCUGCCUGUAAGACUGGGAUUACUCCGGGAAACCGGGGCUAAUACCGGAUGGUUGUCUGAACCGCAUGGUUCAGACAUAAAAGGUGGCUUCGGCUACCACUUACAGAUGGACCCGCGGCGCAUUAGCUAGUUGGUGAGGUAACGGCUCACCAAGGCGACGAUGCGUAGCCGACCUGAGAGGGUGAUCGGCCACACUGGGACUGAGACACGGCCCAGACUCCUACGGGAGGCAGCAGUAGGGAAUCUUCCGCAAUGGACGAAAGUUUGACGGAGCAACGCCGCGUGAGUGAUGAAGGUUUUCGGAUCGUAAAGCUCUGUUGUUAGGGAAGAACAAGUGCCGUUCAAAUAGGGCGGCACCUUGACGGUACCUAACCAGAAAGCCACGGCUAACUACGUGCCAGCAGCCGCGGUAAUACGUAGGUGGCAAGCGUUGUCCGGAAUUAUUGGGCGUUAAGGGCUCGCAGGCGGUUUCUUAAGUCUGAUGUGAAAGCCCCCGGCUCAACCGGGGAGGGUCAUUGGAAACUGGGGAACUUGAGUGCAGAAGAGGAGAGUGGAAUUCCACGUGUAGCGGUGAAAUGCGUAGAGAUGUGGAGGAACACCAGUGGCGAAGGCGACUCUCUGGUCUGUAACUGACGCUGAGGAGCGAAAGCGUGGGGAGCGAACAGGAUUAGAUACCCUGGUAGUCCACGCCGUAAACGAUGAGUGCUAAGUGUUAGGGGGUUUCCGCCCCUUAGUGCUGCAGCUAACGCAUUAAGCACUCCGCCUGGGGAGUACGGUCGCAAGACUGAAACUCAAGGAUUUGACGGGGGCCCGCACAAGCGGUGGAGCAUGUGGGUUUAAUUCGAAGCAACGCGAAGACUCUUACCAGGUCUUGACAUCCUCUGACAAUUCCUAGAGAUAGGACGUCCCCUUUCGGGGGCAGAGUGACAGGUGGUGCAUGAUUGUCGUCAGCUCGUGUCUUGAGAUGUUGGGUUAAGUCUCGCAACGAGCGCAACCCUUGAUCUAGU
rnacentral:rRNA from 1 species